AGUUUGAUCCUGGCUCAGAUUGAACGCUGGCGGCAUGCUUUACACAUGCAGGUCGAACGGUAACAGGUCUUCGGAUGCUGACGAGUGGCGAACGGGUGAGUAAUACAUCGGAACGUGCCUAGUAGUGGGGGAUAACUACUCGAAAGAGUAGCUAAUACCGCAUGAGAUCUACGGAUGAAAGCAGGGGACCUUUGGGCCUUGUGCUACUAGAGCGGCUGAUGGCAGAUUAGGUAGUUGGUGGGGUAAAGGCUUACCAAGCCUGCGAUCUGUAGCUGGUCUGAGAGGACGACCAGCCACACUGGGACUGAGACACGGCCCAGACUCCUACGGGAGGCAGCAGUGGGGAAUUUUGGACAAUGGGCGAAAGCCUGAUCCAGCAAUGCCGCGUGCAGGAUGAGGGCCCUCGGGUUGUAAACUGCUUUUGUACGGAACGAAAAGCCUGGGGCUAAUAUCCCCGGGUCAUGACGGUACCGUAAGAAUAAGCACCGGCUAACUACGUG
rnacentral:rRNA from 1 species